CUCAGACCUCGUCUGAGAGUUUUGGACAGCAAGCUUCCACGGCAUCAGCCACCGUCAGAAAGAUAUGGUCGUGUCCUAGCAUGUCAGCAAAGUGCGACAAGUGUAGUUUACCAAUCACCAACGGUCCAGGGUUCGCAAGAACCAACUGUUAUAAACACAAAAACAGAAUCAAACUUUAUAACUCUCCAAAAAAGGAGAGAUCGUUGACCAGGAGAGCCACUGCAACGUGGCCAAAGCCAGAUGAUUUGGAUAUUGAAAUAAAUGUGGAUAUAAUACGUACGGUAAAUGUCAGUACUUAUCCCAGAGUAAGCGACGAGAAAUUAACGUUAUUUAUCUUCCUAUCAGUUUCCUAGUAUUUAAUUUUAUUUUUGCUUUGAGUAGACGAUAAAGAAGUAUCGCAUUAUACUAUUUUUUUUGAAUAUUCGAAAAUAUAUAAUAUAAUUAAUUAACAUUUGACAUCCGGAUUUUCUUAUCGGUUGCUUGAACAGAAAUUUUAGAAACAAAGACCUAAAAAUCCCAGAAUACAAACCUAACUGAACAAAAUGUUCAGGAAGAAGACCUAAACAAAUACGAACCAAACCUAACUCACACAUAUGUAUACUCUAUUUUUAGUCGUUCUCAGCUUCUAAUAUGGACUCAACAUCUUGUCCAAACUCAACAACGUGUAGCUGUUAUGUCAAUUUCGAAUAAAUUUGUUUAUUAGCAAUAUAAGGAAAGCAUACAUGUAUAUAAAUAAUAACUACUAAAUUAAUUCAAUCAGUUUCUAGACAAAAGUCUUUUGUGCAACGUGAUGUGGAGUGGCUGGAUUAUAUUAAAUACUUUGGCUGCUAUUAUACAGUUUCAAUCAAACAUAUUUUAAAGUGGCGUUUUCAGUUUAUAUGCAAGAAGUAAAACGUUAAGCUAGAACUAUUUUGUUGCUAGUUGUAGUUGGAGCCAAACUCCCAAAAGGAAGACCACAUGUUAUGACUUUGUGAUAAAUACAACAAUGCUGUAUGCGCAUGAUUGAAAUUCGAGAUAAUUGAUAUAUUAUCAGUGAAACGCUGUAAUGGGUGCUAUGCAUGACUGUAUGCAAUCAAAUAUAAUAUUGGGUGAUUACUCUGGUACCAGACAAUAACACUAUUGAAAAAGGAACUGAUCAAAACUAUGAUUAAGCUUUAACAAUAAAAAGUACAUAUGAUUUAACAUAUACGCACGUGUAUACUAUAAAUGAGUUUAUUAUAAUAAUAAAUAUAAAAAUGAUGAAACAAUAAGUGGGUAAAGUAACAAGAAGAUGCAUAACCAUUGAUAGUUGGAAGGUGAAAACCACCACUUACCUGGAAAAGAAGAAGAAGAAAUUCGAUCUCGUUUUUGUAGCCUUUUCCUCGAAAGAUCUUUCACGUGUUUUAUUUAUUACUUUCUUUGUACGAAAAGUUUUUUUUUAACGAAAAAGAAAGAAAUAUAUUUAAGAAAUAGAAGAAAGUUCACGAGAGACACAGUUACAACCUCCCCUUUUUCCCAGAUCGGUAGUUCAAAAAAAAAAAAAAAGAACACCCAGAUCGUUCACUAUUCCUUUUCUAUGUUAAAAACAUUAAAAUUAGCAAACCCGAAUCAUGUCCAGGUUCGCCGAAUUUCUCUCAAAAUAUCAAUUAAUAAACAGAGAAAUAUGUAAAUUUUCCUGAGAAAAUAAUAUUUUUUAAAAAACUGAGGAAAAUUCCUCAGAAAAAUACAAAGAAUUCGCAGUAGAAGAGAAACGGUUUGUUAAUAAAUUCUGUUUUUAUACUUUUAACUGAAAUAAGACUAUCGAUUAUAAGAGAUAAAAGUCGUGAUUAUGGUAUUAUGUGUUUUCCAGGGAGAAUAAAAAAUGUUUAAUGAGGUGAUACAGUGAUAAUGACAGAAGUCGAAGCGGGUAGAUCGAACUUGUUUUUACGAAAAUGGCACUUGCUCCAAAACUAGAAAAGCGAAAAGGUCAAAAGAAAGGAGCGGUUUCUUUGCGCAUUGAGUUGACUUUUAAGAAAUACAGUGGGCCCCAGCGGUAGCAAGCUUGAAUGUAGACUGUUGUGUGGCCAGGUUCUUACUCGGUGCAGUUAGCCAUUGACUGCGUCUUCUCACGCUCGCUAGUGCUUUGCUGGCUAUUAGCUAUCGGCUCUCCAUGUGGUUCAUGGCUAGCCACACUAUAUUGACUAUAAUACUAAUUUUAGUUAGUAUUUAUUUAGUUUAAAUUUCUUUUCCCGUGUGCAAAAUAUAAUAAUAUGAAUGUUUUUCCUUUGGAAAGUUUGUAUUCUUAAUCUUUUUUCGAUUUAUAUUCGUUAUUGGAGGUAUAUGUAACAUGUUCGCUGCUCUAUUACAAGUUCUUAAGCUUUAACUUU